rnacentral:lncRNA from 1 species
GAGUGACUCCUCUGGCGAAGACGGCCUCUCUGGCGAAGAUGGCUUCUCUGGCGAAGGUGGCUCCUCUGGCGAAGGUGACUCCUCUGGCGAGGGCGACUUCUCUGACGAACACGAUUCCUCUGGCAAGAGCCAUUCCUCUGGUGGAUGAGUUGUCUCUGGUGGAUGAAAUCCCUCUGGUGAGAAUGAUUCUUCUGACCAGUAUGACACCUCUGAUGAGGAUGAUUCCUCUGAUUUGUAUCCUUUCUCUACUCUGCACAUAUCACUCCUCAUCAGGUAUUGUGUUUUACGAUGAUCAGUGAUGAAUUCAAGUGGCUGAAGU